rnacentral:lncRNA from 13 species
GCCGGGGUGAGCGCAUUGAAGUGGCUGUCAUAAAUCACAUGAUCCACAGAAACAUGAAAUGGCCAAUGCUGUGGGAUGGCCUUACCCUUUGAUCAGUUCUACUACAUUGCACAUACGAGUCAUUGGACGAAGGCGUAUUCUGAUCCCCAAUGCUCAAAGCGGCUCUGCGACUGCUCCAGGACAGAGCAGCCGCUGCUGGAGAUGCUGAAGCACCACUCAGAGUUUGUCUGUGACCUGGACAUCAACCAGAACAACCUCAACCAGGUGGUGGACUGCUCCUAGGUCAAAAUCUAUGCACCUCCAUGCCUGGCUGCCCCUACGCCCAGUGCACUGCAAAGAGCUCAUAAUUGGCCUGCCACAAGG